rnacentral:rRNA from 1 species
UACGGGGGGAGCGAACGUUGUUCGGAAUCACUGGGCGUAAAGGGCAUGCAGGCGGUCGUACGCGUUUCGGGUGACAGCGGGUGGCUUAACUACCCGAGUGUUCGAAAGACGGUACGACUUGAGGGCUCGAGAGGGACACGGAAUUCCGGGUGGAGUGGUGAAAUGCGUAGAGAUCCGGAGGAACACCGAAGGCGAAGGCAGUGUCCUGGCGAGUGACUGACGCUGAGGUGCGAAAGCUAGGGGAGCGAACGGG